rnacentral:rRNA from 1 species
CGUUCUCUGUAAAAAUAGAGAAUAUGACCUGCCCUAUGUUUAACAUAAAUGGCCGCGGUACUCUGACCGUGCAAAGGUAGCGUAAUAACUUGCUUUCUAAUUAAAAGAUAGUUGAAUGGUUAAACGAGAGUUUGACUGUCUCAUUUUAAUACUAUAAAAACUAACCUUUAAGUGAAGAGGCUUAAAUAAAUAAAAAAGACGAGAAGACCCUGUCGAGCUUUAAAUAAAAUAACACUAUUAGCUUAUAUAUUUUUGAUUGGGGCAAUCCCGGAAUAAAACAAACUUCCGGAACUUAAUUAACACUAUAUUACAAACCAGAAUUUCUGAAAAUAAAACCAGUUACCGCAGGGAUAACAGCGUUAUUUUCUUUAAGAGCACAUAUCGAAAAGAAAGUUUGCGACCUCGAUGUUGGAUUAAGGAUACCGUUUAGGUGUAGAAGCUUACUACGGAAAUCUGUUCGAUUUUUAAUUCCU